rnacentral:rRNA from 1 species
AUGGCGUCUAGCAAGAUUGCUCUGCCGUCUGCCGUCCUGGUGCUCCGGCUCGUCACCCUCGCCCUCCUCCUCGCGUCUCUCGUCCUCAUCUCGCUAGACAAGUUCCACGUCUCUGACGCGGAGGCUAUUCUCCUCGACGUCCAGGCCAAGGAGAUCACCUUCAAGGACGUCUACGCGUACAGGUACGUGCUAGCUAUCGCCGUUGCUGGGUGCGUCUACACCCUGCUGCAGAUUCCGUUUGCGGCAGUCAGCAUCGCCAGAAGGAAGACGAGGAUCGGAGGCAGCGAGGGCGUCGCCUUGCUCCUCAUAUGCGCCGACGUGGUCUUCGCACUGGUGAUCGCCACGGGCGCGGCCGCCGGCUACGGCUACACCGGCGACGCGAAGCGCAACGCUGACUACACAUACCACAGCUGGGAACGGUUUGCUGCCGCGACCGGGAGUCUGAUUCCCCCUGAGGUCACCCAGCUCAACACGGACAUCAGGAGGUUCUUCAUGCUGGCCUUCUCCUCCGCCUUGCUCAUGCUUCUCGCCGCCGCCUGCAUGGCCCUUGUUAUAAUGAUCUCCGUCUACGCGCUCGUCCGAAGAUAA